GGGGAGGUAGCUUAGUGGGUAGAGCACAUGCAUGCGUGAGGCCUCAGGUUCGAUUCCUGGCCACUGUG
rnacentral:tRNA from 1 species